rnacentral:rRNA from 1 species
AAUAUUGGACAAUGGGCGCAAGCCUGAUCCAGCCAUACCGCGUGGGUGAAGAAGGCCUNCGUGUUNUNAAGCCCUUUUGUUGGGANCGAAAAGCAGCCGGUUAAUUCCCGGUUGUUCUGACGGUACCCAAAUAAUAAGCACCGGCUAAUUUCGUCCCAGCAGCCGCGGUAAUACGAAGGGUGCAAGCGUUACUCGGAAUUACUGGGCGUAAAGCGGGCGUAGGUGGUUGUUUAAGUCUGUCGUGAAAGCCCUGGGCUCAACCUGGGAAUGGCGAUGGAAAGUGGACGACUAGAGUGUGGCAGAGGGUAGUGGAAUUCCUGGUGUAGCAGAGAAAUGCGUAGAGAUCAGGAGGAACAUCCGUGGCGAAGGCGACUGCCUGGGCCAACACUGACACUGAGGCACGAAAGCGUGGGGAGCAAACAGG